rnacentral:rRNA from 1 species
ACGAACGCUGGCGGCGUGCCUAAUACAUGCAAGUCGAGCGAAGUUUUUCUGGUGCUUGCACCGGAAAAACUUAGCGGCGAACGGGUGAGUAACACGUAAAGAACCUGCCUCAUAGACUGGGACAACUAUUGGAAACGAUAGCUAAUACAGGAUAAUAGCAUUAACUGCAUGGUUGAUGUUUAAAAGUUGGUUUUGCGAACACUAUGAGAUGGCUUUGCGGUGCAUUAGCUAGUUGGUGGGGUAAAGGCCUACCAAGGCGACGAUGCAUAGCCGACCUGAGAGGGUUGUAGGCCACACUGGCACUGAUACACGGCCCAGACUCCUACGGGAGGCAGCAGUAGGGAAUCUUCCGCAAUGGGCGAAAGCCUGACGGAGCAACGCCGCGUGAGUGAAGAAGGAUUUCGGUUCGUAAAGCUCUGUUGUUAGGGAAGAAUGAUUGUGUAGUAACUAUACACAGUAGAGACGGUACCUAACCAGAAAGCCACGGCUAACUACGUG